CCCACUAACGUCAAUACAUCCAAAGCGAAGCCACAAAAUAAGGCUCAAUCAGAUACCCCAAAUAAGGCUCCUAUUCUCUUUCAUUUUGAACACAGAGGAUAAAACUCCCCAACCCAGAUGCUCUCCCCAAAUCCCUAAAUCCAACGUCAGUGAUUUUUGCUAUGUAAGUUUUUUUGACGCCUUUUUUUUAAUCUUUUUCUACUAUCCUUGAUUGUGUUAAUAUCUGUUCUUCAAUUAGAAGAUCGUCUUGGUUUUUGUCGAUCAUUUUGGUAUUAUUAUUACCCUUUCUCUCUAUUUCUUUCUUGGUAUUUGAUAAUGGAUGCUUAGAUAUUAUUUUUACCGUUGCUUUUAUUUUGUUAAACAUCUUGUCUUAUUGUUUAGUUCCUUUACUUUGUUCAUCUGUUUGGUGCUUGUUAUUGAUAUUGCUGGAAUGGUUAAAGUUUGGAUCUUUUUUACAUUAUCUUUGUGGAAUUUAUUCUGAUAUGAUAAUAGAUGCUUAGAUAUUUUUAUCGUAGCUUUUAUUUUGUUGAACUACAUAUCCUAGUGUCUAGUCCCAUUACUCUGUUCCAUAUGUUUGGUGCUUGUUUUUGUUGUUGUUGAUGCUGGUAUGAUUAAAGGUUGAAUCCUUUUUUACAUUUUUGUGGAAUUUUGUGUUAUAUGAUCUAUAUGUACCAUGAAAACAACUUCUUAUAGAAAUGCAGCGUGCAAUAGGCCCUUGUGGUCCAGCCUUUCCUCGGACCCCGCACAUAGCGGGAGCUUAGUGCACCGGGCUGCCCCUUUUUAUUUUUUAUGAUCUAUAUGUAAGAGUUAUACUCGAAUUGCUUGAAAAGCUGCAUGCUUUUGACGGCUUUUUCAACAACAAUUUUUGGGCUUGUUCUGCUUUGUCUUUAAAGUUUCUACCAUGUUGGUUUGAAGAAAUAUAUUGGUUUGAAGAAUUAUCUCUGUGCCAUCUGCUUGGUGCUUGUUAUUGUUAUGGUUAAAGUUUGGAUAUUUUUACAUGUCUUUUUGGAAAUUGUUGUUGUAUGAUCUUAUGUGUAAAAGUUCCACAUGAAUGUGCUUGCAAAGCUGCCUGCCUGCUCUCACCAAAUAAUUUUUGAGCUUAUUCUGAUUUACUACUAAAGAUAUUGUGUUGUUGGUUUGAAGAUCUAUCUAUGCUUAUUGGUGAUGAGUAUAUUUACUUAAGUUGGGAAAACCAUUAUUGCUUCAUAUGCUUUCUCAAAGAAAACCUUCAGUCUUGAAACUCUUGAUCUUUCUACUAUUGUUUGACCUUUAAGUACUGCUUUUCUAAAUGCAUAUCAGUUUUCUUUGAAAAUGCAAACUUUGAUUGACUAUAGUGCAUUACUGGUCCCCUACCAUCUAUUGAUAUGUUGUUUAACAUAAUUAUCAAUUAUCUGUCUCUAUGGAUUUACUUUUCUUGCUUUUCUCAACUUUCUUCAUUGUUUGCAAGUGAAAUUGGAAAAAGAUAAUUGAGCCAAUUCUUAGCAUAUAUACUAAUUUUGCCUUUUUCAUAGAAAUGCUACUUCAACUGGGUCCUUUCACAAUUUUGCUUUCAUCUGUUGGGAACUAAGACAGUUGGCUACUUAUGUUAUGCUGAUGCUGAAUAGUACUCAUUUUGUUUGAUUUUACCUAUUAUAUUUAGCCCACUUUCUUUUUGCAUCUCCACACCAUUUAAGAAAGAUUGACAAUGCUACACUGAAGGGUUUAAGUUAUGUAAUUUACCUCUGAAUAUUUUUAUUCAAAUUAUUAAAAAAUCAAUUACACGUGAUUGUCCAAUUAUUUUAAUCAUAAGAGUUAUAUCCGGGGUGUGAAAAUUUCAGUGAACUAAGUUUUACUAUUCAAUUGUACUUGCUUAAAUCCUUGCAUGGGUUCAGUAAUGUGGCUUUCUCGGAUUUGUUAGAGUUUAUAAAAUUACCAAGAACGUCGUUACACGAAUUCAACGUCUCAACCCCGAUUUGAGACUUGAUCCUCACAUACUAAUCUUCUGUGCUCGUGCACCUGGAGAAGCUUCCUCUCCACACCAAGCUGAUAUUCAACCAAUCAAUUUUCCAUCUGAUGGUAGUAACAAUCAAGGUCAGUCCAUACCAUAUGUUACACGUCUUCUCUUUCCUCUUCUUCUCCUUUUUUUUUGUUGCUUAUUCUACCACUGCGCUCUCUCUCUCUCUCUCUCUCUCUCUCUCUCUGGCAAUGUUUGUUUUACUAGUUUUAAAGGAGAUUUAUAGUGGAGAAAGAGGGGUUGUUUGUGGAGUCAUUUUAUGGGAGUGUAGUUGAGGCAUUGGUUUACUUGACAUUAUUUGACUGUAGUUGAGGCGUUGUAGCAUAUAUGAAUCUGAUAUGUCUUCUCCGACAAUUUGGAAAUAGAGGAAUUGAAGAAUCUUCAGGGAGGGAAAAGGAACCUAGGGAGCAUAAACUAUAAAAAGUUAGUUUCUGUUUCUUUUAAGGUGUAAAGUAAACUAGUAUUAUCUUUCAUAGAUAAUUGGGUUAACUUGGUGAAAGAUCAUGGUUAAUUCGUGUAGGGUUUGGAAAAUUCUUUUGGCAUUGUGUCAGUGCAUUAUUAAUGAAAUUAUCCUGAUCUAAAGAAGAAACUUAAAGCCCAAAAUGAAGUAAAGAUGUUUGCAGAUGGGCUGACUUUCUUGUGAAAAAUGGAAAUUCUAUCAAAAUUAUGUGGUUUUACUUUGAUUAAUAAAGUAUUUCUGAAAUAAAAUUGAGGUAUUAGUGGACUACAUAUUGGUUCUAUUUUUCCAUGUUCUUUUUUGGGAACUUAGAGUUACACACCAAUAAGAUGGAAGGAUUUGAUAUUGCACCCAUAAACUCAGUAGAAUUUGAAAAAAAAAAACUUUAUGUAAGUAGGAUGUCAUUUUGUAUUUUUGGUUGUGCUUUGUGAUGCCUUUUGGUCAUCCUCAGGCACAUGUCAUCUUCAUCAUGUUACUUACAUGCUUAUGUAGAUCAAAAUCUAUGCUUGUUGAAAAUACAUUUGGCAAAAUGUGGAACAGAGUUAUACUAGAGAGGACUAAGCCUUAGCGGAACUGUCUUUUUUUUUUUUUUUACACUUUUGGAGGACCUACAGUAUUUCAAUUAGUAUUAGUGACUAAUGCUUUUUGUUGAGAAUCAUAUUUUUGUCUAAAGCUCUCUAUUUUCUGUAUACAAUCCUAUAAGCAUGUUUUGCCUAUCACAUUAAUAAAAGAAUUAACUUCAUUUUAAAGAAAAGCAUUUUGGCAAAAGAACUUUCAGAACACACUUUAGACAUAUACUAUCCAAAUAAAAAUACUAGGUUCAGUCAUUUGGAAGUAAAAGAAGAAAAAAUGAUUGUGAUUGCGUGAAGUUCGAAGGCUUAGGAGUCGGCUAUUUUGCUGCAUUUUUGGGUGAUUUUUACAGCUGUUUUGCUGCGUUUUUUUGUUGUUACUACACUUGCAUUAGGUCCGGCAUUUAGAAGUUUAAUCCUUUAUGAUAAACAUUUAUGCAAGAGAGUAGUUCAUCGGCAAAUUCAAAUUGAAUUGUAUGAUGAUUACAGUCUGAGAUUCGUAUUAACGAAAUAUGUCGUUUAGUGUACUCAGUUACCUCUCCUACUUGUCAUGUGUUUUGUCUUUUUGUUGAGAUUUGUCAAGACCCAAAACAACCGUCGUGAUGACGCAUAUCGUGGAACUAGGCAAGCCAAUUACUCAACUAUUCCAACAUAACCAAAAGCUUUGAAACAAAAUACGGAAGCAGUUAAUAUUUAAGGAAAAUCUUUAAAACAUAAAUAAAUACGCAACCCAAUACAAUCUCUCCCUAAACCGGGAUGUUACCGAGUACAUGAGCUUCUACAAUGGAAGAUAGUCAAAUACAGUGUCUAAAGAGUAAAAAAAACUGAAAUACAAGUAAAGAUAAUGAAGGAGGGUCAAGGUCUGCGAAAGUCAUGCAGCUACCUCGAUAGUCUCUCGAGAUCAUGACUCCACAAUGAGCAACCGCCGUGACUGGAAGCACCUGGAUAUCCACACGAGGUGCAGGGUGUAGCGUGAGUACAACCAUUGUCACGAUAGAAAAUGCUGAAGCUGCAAUGGUCCUACCUUAAAGGACUCCGAAGAUCACAGUACAAUUGAAACCUACGGUGAUAGUUCAGACUUACCAGUAACAGCCUACUGCUGCUACCAUGGAUGAAAAGGAUCGGGAAUACAAAGCAGUCCCGUGGACAUAUCAACAAAAAGGGAAAGCCAAUAUGACGGAUUCCGCAGCGGCUCACGGCAUGACUAGGCCAGGGAGGUGUUACGCUCUUGAGGAUAUAAACCGAGGGAAUCUAGGAAGGGUACGGAUUCAGAGAAGAAAUAUAACAGAUCUGAAGGCCGUAGAAUUUUGGAAGAAGAUGUCAACCAAAGAAUACUCCGUUAGGAGCAACUGAAGAAAACCCCGCACAAAUAUCAAUCAUGGAUUUACUGAUGAGUUCUGACAGUCAUAAAGAUGCCCUGAUGAAAGUGUGAAGUGGGGUGAGCGUACUGAGCAAUAACAUAAGUGAGGCACUGGUAACAACAAUUGGGAAAAUGGUCGAAGCAAAUAUGAUCACUUUCCGAAGAGAUGAGCUUCCUAUCUAAGGCGUGGGUCAGAACAAAACUCUACACAUCACUGUCAAAUGUGGAGAUAAGGUGGUGUCCCCAGUACUGAUUGAUGGAGGAUCAGGAUUCAAUAUCUGCCCGCUCUCUACUCUGUGAGAGUUGCAUAUCCAUCUAAGAGAAGUCAAGGAAUGUCAUGCGAGGUUAAGGGCUUUUGACGGGUCGCAAAAGGAUGUCAUUGGAGAAAUUUAUUUGGCACUGCAGAGUGGACCAAUUGAGUUUCCCAUACUAUUCCAAGUGAUGUAUAUUUCAUCUUCAUAUAACUUAUUACUAGGAAGACCUUGGAUACACAUGGAGGGGGCAGUACUAUCUACCCUACACCAAUGUAUGAAGUUCGAAUGGGGGUGUCAACAGAUCGUAGUCCACGACGAAUGGAGCCAAUCAGCUUAUCUGGAACACACAGUCCCGUUCAUAGAAGGAUUAGACGGGGUCGCUUUCCAUGCAGUAGAGUUCAUGCAGACCACCGAAAUAGAAGAGACUAAGCAAAACCUAAGAAUGCAGUCAUCAUAUAGAUCAAAGAUGGCCAUGAGGAAAAUGAUGAAAUACAGAUACAGUCCAAGAACCGAGCUGGGAGCCCAAUCAGACAGGAUAAUAGAGCUGAUUGAGCCAUAUGGGCAGAAAGGAAGAGUCGGCCUACGGUAUCAGCCAUCGACUGAGAAGGCGUGUAUCGGUAGCUUCGGGAAAAAGGAGAUUUUAUGCCAGAGCGUUUAUCGGGUACGUGUUAGAGCUCAGUGCCAGAUGACGACAUCGUCGAUGGAAUGGAAAGGCUGUUCGUGACCAUACUUGAGGAAUGUUGUGAAGGAAUUUAUAUUAUGUCACCGACCAUUCGGGAAUCUGAACUAGGAGAGGACUUGCAGAAUUCGACUGUUAGCCCGUCAUUGGUUCGCCAAGAGUCUUGGUAGUGUGGAAUUAUAAAUGUUUUGAAAAGAGCGCACGGUCAAUUGAGGCUCGGACCGUGUCUGUAGUUUUUUGUUAUUUGCCUCUUUGAACGCUCAGACGUUGCUCUUUUGAUGAAAGAAAAGAAUUGCUUUCUUAAAAUUAUUGCAAAUUUAUUUAUUGCUUCAUUUAUACUUUGUUUUUCUUUUCAGUAAUCAAAACGAUAAAAACCUGCAUUCGCGAUUAUGACAUAUAACGAAACCCUCGAGCAAAGCGAUCCAACUUACGAGGAGUACGAUGAGAGUAUGAUGCCAGAUAAUCUCCCAAGAGAGAUCGAACAACUGGAAAGCCAGAGAAAGCCUAAGCUUGAAGAGACAGAAGUGGUCAACCUCGGAAGCGAAGAAGAUAUAAAAGAAACCCGAAACAACAUCCAUCUAGAAGUAGAGCAGAAUGAAGAAUUGGUUAAGCUCCUCCGAAGUACAUUGAUAUAUUCACAUGGUCGUAUGAUGACAUACCUGGGUUAAGUACUGAUAUUGUUCGCACCGAUUGCCUAUCGAUCAUGCUAGACCACCAGUCAAACAAAAACCCAUAAAAUUCAAACUAGACUUGAGUUUAAGGAUAAAGGAAGAAGUAACCAAGCAAAUAGAGGUGAAUGUAGUGAGGGCAAUAAAUUAUCCCACAUGGUUGGCGAAUAUCGUCCCAGUGCCCAAGAAGGAUGGAAUGAUCAAGAUAUGUGUAGAUUAUCGAGAUUUCAACAAAGCCAGCCUAAAAGACAAUUUCUUUUUACCUAAUAUACAUAUCCUCAUCGACAAAUACGUGAAGCAUGAACUGCAUUCGCUCGUGGAUUGUUUCUCUGGGUACCACCAGAUCCGGAUGCACGAAAAAGAUGCAGAAAAGACAGAUUUUACUACACCUAGGGGAGUCUACUGCUAUAGAUUCAUGCCCUUCGGUCUCAAAAAUACUGGCGCUACUUACAUGAAGGCCAUGACAACCCUCUUUCACGACAUGAUUCACAAAGAGAUCGAGGAAUAUGUGGAUGACAUCAUCAUCAAGUCUCGGAAGAGUUCAAAACAUUUUGAUGAUAUUAGGAAGUUUUUCGAACGUUUGUGGAGGUAUAGUUUGAAGUUGAAUCCUGCAAAAUGCGCAUUCGGAGUCCCUGUUGGAAAAUUGCUAGGUUUCAUCAUUAGCAAAAAAGGGAUAGAGUUAGAUCCCUCAAAGAUCAAAGCUAUUCAAGAGUUGCCACCGCCCAAAAGUAAGAAGGAUGUGAUGAGUUUCAUGGGUAGAUUGAAUUACAUCAGCCGUUUCAUAGCCGAGUCUACAGUAAUUUGUGAACCUAUCAUUAAGCUGUUGAAGAAACAUGCUGCCACAAAAUAGACAGAAGAGUGUCAGAAAGCCAUCAACGGAAUUAAGGAGUAUUUGUCAAAUCCGCUAGUGUUGGUUCCUCCCGGGCCUAGGAAGCCACUGUUGCUGUGCCUGCCGGUCUUGGACAAUAUUUUGGAUGUGUUGGGACAACAUGACGAAAGCGGAAGACAGAGUAGGCCAUCUACAACUUAAGCAAGAAAUUCACACCGUGUAAGGCCAAAUACACUUUGAUUGAGCGCACUUACUGUGCUUUGACUUGGAUCGCCCAGAAACUGAGGCAUUACAUGUUAGCAUACACCACGCAUUUGAUAUCCUGACUCGACCCGCUCAAGUAUAUCUUUCAGAAGCCAAUGCCUAUAGGAAAACUAGCUAAAUGGAAAAUUCUUCUCAGCGAAUUUGACAUUGUGCACAUAACACAGAAGGCCAUCAAAGGAAAAGCUUUAGCCAACCACCUUGUAGAGAAUCCAGUGGACAAGGAUUAUGAGUUGCGCACUGUGUACUUUCUCGACGAGGAAGUAUUGUUUGCCGGAGAAGAUAUUGCAGAGUCAUACCUUGGAUGGAGAAUGUUCUUCGACGGAGCGGCAAACUUCAAAGGAGUGGGAAUUAGGGAUGUCCUAAUUUCGGAAUCAGGACAAAACUAUCCAGCAUCAGCAAAGAUAAGGUUCCCUUGCACCAAUAAUAUGGUCGAAUACGAAGAGUGCAUCAUUGGGAUCAAGAUGGCAGUUGACAUGAACAUCAAAGAGCUCUUGGUCAUAGGGGAUUAUGAUCUAUUAAUACAUCAAGUCCAAGGGGAGUGUUCUACCAAGAAAGUUAAGAUCCUUCCAUACCUGCACUGUGUAAAAGAGUUAUGCAUGAAGUUCACAAAGCUCGAGUUUAAGCACGUUCCCAAGAUCCAUAAAGAGUUUGUCGAUACUCUUGCAACCCUAUCAUCCAUGAUUUAGCAUCUAGAUAAGAAUUACAUCGACCCUAUUGAGGUAAAAACCAGAGAUCAACAUGCAUACUACUUUCAUAUAGACGAAGAGCCAGAAUGUUGACCGUGGUACCACGAAAUGAAAAGGUUCCUCGAAACAUGAGAGUACCCAGAGAGUGCUACAGAUAGUCAAAAGUGAGCGCUCAGAAGGCUGGCAAAUCACUUUUUCCUCGACGAGGAAGCCCUGCAUAAAAUGACCCCAAACUUUGGUCUGUUGAGAUGUGUAGAUGCCGCUGAAGCAACCAAAUUGUUAGAAGAAAUACAUAUGGGAACAUGCAGACCCCACAUGAACGGCUUCACCUUAGCCAAGGGGAUUUCACGGGGAUUUCAUCUGGGUUCCGCCUAAUGAGUUCAAUGUAAUGGGUUCGCGUUGGCCGCUCGCCGCUGUGAUUGGACCUAUAGAGCCCGCCACAUAAAAUGGGCACCGUUUCAUCUUAGUAGUCAUUGACUGCUUCACCAAAUGAGUCGAAGCAUCUACCUACAACACAGUCAUAAAGAAAGUGCUGGCAGAUGUUGUUCGUAACAACAUCGUCUGCCGAUUUGGGAUACCUGAGUCAAUCAUCACUGACAAUGCAGAUAAUGUCAACAGUGAUCUCAUGAGAGAAAUUUGUGAGAAGUUCAGAAUUGUCCAGCGCAACUCUACAGCCUACAGCUACAAAUGAAUGGAGCAGUUGAACCAGCCAACAAAAACAUCAAAAGGAGUCUGCGGAAGAUAGUGGACAAUAAUAGGCAAUGGCACGAGAAGUUAUCCUUCUCCUUACUAGGUUAUCGAACCACCACGAGGAUAUCCACUGGGGAAAUGCCAUACCUAUUGGUAUAUAGAACCGAAGUAGAGCGUUCUCAAGGCUGUUAGAAAAGUAUGGAGUUCGCCAUAAGGUUGCCACACCUUACCACCCGCAAAUGAACGGGCAAGUGGAAGUGUCCAAUAGGGAAAUCAAAAGUGUCCUGACCAAGACAGUGAAUGCGACUCGGACUAAUUGGGCAAGGAAGUUGGAUGAUGCGUUAUGGGCUUACCGCACAACAUUUAAAACUCUAAUUGGUAUGUCUCUGUAUAAGUUGGUGUUUGGAAAAGCAUGCCAUCUUUCGGUGGAGCUUGAGCAUAAAGCCUUAUGGGCACUGCGGCAGUUGAAUUUGGAUAUGGAAACCGCGGGCACAAGUAGACCUACAGAAUUACAUGAACUCGAGGAGUUCCCAUUCCAGGCAUUUUAGUGUCACGCCCCGACCUCGGUCGAGCAAGACUGUACAAUACCUUCUACCCAAACUUACUCAUAAAUAAAGAGAAGAUCUAUUUCAUUAAUUAGACAGUGAGGAGACUCAUGUGAACAACAACACCAAUUCAUUAUCAGCAGUUUCAUCAGCUAUAAGUUAUAAAAUACAUACACUUUCAUAGUUUUGUGCGGAACGUGUGAUGCAGUUACCAAAAUUACUAGUUUAUCUUUCUCAACACCGACAUACCACCCACACAAUAUCUACGGAGCCUCUAAUAGAUACAAAAGAGUAUGAUGAUAGUGCCGACAAUAAGGCCCCGGAUAUACCUCAAAACAUAAUACAUAAGGACAAAAUUUAUACGAUCCCGAAUGAGGUGGGGCUCACCAAGUCAGCUGGGGAGAGGGUGUACCGCUAUCAACGAUCAAAGCCGCCUGCUGUGGAACCACCUGCAUCCGUUUAAGACGCAGCGCCCCCGGCAAAAGGGACGUUAGUACAUGUGGAAUAGUACUAGUAUGAAUGAGUAAGCACCCUCUCAAUAGAACGAAUGAUGAAACAAGAAUGAACAAUCAUAAAAUCAAUGGGAAGUCUCAAACAAUACCCAAAACAUCAAGUUAGGAAUAAGACAAGGUUUCAAGUGAUUUCCAUAUUUUAAGUUGGGAGACCUUUAGUAUCGAUAUUCCAUCGUUUACAAUUUCCAACAUAGUCACCACCAUGUCUGCGGCAUGGCGUCUGAUCACAACCCGAUUGGCUAGGCCGUCUCAUACGAGACAUCAACCACAAUCACAAUUUCAAUUUCAAUUUCCAACACAAUCACCACCAUGUGUGCGGCAUGGCGUCCGAUCACGACCCGAUCGGCUAGGCCGCUGCAUCCGAGACAUUGUCCUCUUCUAUCAAUCAUCCCAUUUCAUACCUCUUUCACAUCUUUUUAUUUCAUUGGCACUAGUGGUCACAAUUGUAAUAUCCCCCUUUUGUGUGGCGUGUUGGCCAUAUUUCAUAUUUUAUAUUUUGUGCUUACCUUUUCACUUUCAACCAUCAUCAUUGAUUUUCAACAAGGCGUUUACGUUCAAGUCACUAAGCAUACAAGUUAGCAAACAAGAGUCUUAAGUGCAUUGAGAUUUCUUACACAAUUGGCAUUCGCUAUAAUUUGAAACGCAACAUGAGGCCAUAACAUUUAGCUAAGCAACCAAUAUUUUGAACACAUUACCAAAUAGUAGUACAACUUAACAAGAGCAUUGGGAAUACAUAUUGAACACAAAAGUCUUUUGACACAAAGUUUAUUCGGAAAAAUCGAUUCAUAAUGAGUAACUUGGGAAUUACAAUGACAUUGUGCGGUUCAAUUCUAUGGGAAGAGUUUAGCCAACAUACCUCACUUGAUCUUCCUUAAAUACUAAAAUGUUCCGAAAAUUAUAGCAACUUCGAUCUAUUUCAGAAUUAUAACAAAUUGAACCAAAAAUUAGGAAGAUGAUCAUGGUUCCAGCUCAUUUGAGCGUUUUAUCAAACACUAGGUGUGCAUUAAGAUUUCAAGGCCCUACAAUGGUGGAUUCCAUCAUCCACCCGUUAUCUACCAUUUUUAGCCCAAUAAUCGUCCUACACCCUUAGAUAACACAUGCAUGCAAGAGGGACAACUACCAUACCCAAGAAUUUCCUUACUAAUUACCUAUUUUUAGUUAAAUUUCGAAAUUGAGGGUUAGGGUAUAGAAUCUUACCUCUAGGAUGAAGACCUAGUAUUUUUUCCUUGUUAAUCUUCCAAGAUUUGAGUAAGAAUUGAAGAACAAUUAGUUGAGGAACUCUCUCCCUCUCUAGAGCACUUUCUCACUCUCAAAAUGUCAGGUUCUUAUUUAAGAAACGGUCCAUGGAGUCUAUAUAACGAAAUGGGGUCGGGUUAUAAAAACCAAAAAAAUGAAGCUCUGAAACACAAUCUGCGGUCGCAUAAUAAUUUUGCGGUCCGCGAAAUGGACCGCGAAAUGGCCCUCUGGAACUGGGCAUCGCUGCCUGGGUAUGCGGCUGUUCUGCGGUCCGCAUAUCGAUUAUGCGGUGCAAAGCGGACCGCAGAAUCUCCUCCCAGAAUUCCUCAUGUCGAUCCUGCGAUGCAAUCUGUGGACCGCAUAAUGGCCCACAAAUUUUGCUUCAGUUUCAACUUCACUCUGUGGCCAUUCUGCGACCGCAUAGUGGGCCGCAGAAAUGUUUUUUUCUGCCAACAUUUUCCUUUAACUCCCUAGCGCACUGUUCAACCCAAAAAGUCCGUACCGCGGCGAGCAAGCUCGUUGCGAAGAACUUCUACCAUCACCAAACAUAUUAGCCUACCUCGUUACCACGGAACCUCGGGUUUUAGGUGAAAUUUUAUAGGGACUUAUAUCCUCCCCCACUUAAGAUCAUUCAUCCUCGAAUGAGGGUCUAAAUCCGUCAUUAGUACUCAACAUGACCCAGCUGUUACUUCACACACACUAGUAGUCCCAAUUUUUGACUAACUCCCCAAAUUCCCAAAAUGUUCGGCAGAGUUUCCCUUGUAACUGGCCUAUCCACCUGUCAGAGAAUCCCAGAAACCAAUCCUAACAACAUGUACAUAAUCCAACGAUGCAACAUAUUAUGAAACAACACCAACCGUGGCCUCAUAAGCAAUAUAUUCCCAGAAAGGAAAUAUCCUGCCUGUACAAGUGAUACCUAGUUCAUAGGAAUUAAUUUCAUGGAAACUAUUACAUAGCUAUUCAAAUAAAUGAGGGUACUUCUUUUUCAUUUCUUCCUCGGCCUCCCAGGUGGCCUCUUUAACCUGUUGGUUUCGCCAUAACACUUUCACGGAGGCAAUUUCUUUAUUUCUUAGAUUUCGGACUUGCCUAUCAAGAAUGGCAACUGAAAUUUCUUCAUAGGUCAGUUCUUCAUAUACCUCAAUAGUCUCUACUAGCACAAUAACCGACGGAUCUCCAACCACCUUCUUUAACAUAAACACAUUGAAUACCGGGUGCACUAAUGACAUCUCAGGUGGUAGCUCAAGCUUGUACGCCACCUGACCAAUCCUUUGAAUGUUUAUGUACGGUCCGACAUACCCCGGACUCAAUUUCCCUUUCUUACCAAACCGCAUUAUACCCUUCAUGGGGGAAACCUUCAAGAAUACCCAAUCAUCUUCUUUGAACUCCAAAUAUCUGCGACGAACGUCCUUAUAGGACUUUUGACGACUCUGAGCUUUUUUCAACCGAUCCUUAAUGACCUUAACCUUCUCCAUAGCCUGGUGCAUGAGGUCUGGUCCUAUCGAUUCUGCUUCCCCAAUAUCGAACCACCCAAUAGGAGAUCUACAUCUCCUACCAUAUAAAGCCUCGAAUGGUGCCAUCUGAAUACUAGCAUGGUAACUGUUGUUGUAGGCAAAUUCUAUGAGUGGCAAAUGAUCGUCCCCGCUGCCCUUGAAGUCAAGAACACAAGCGCGCAACAUAUCCUCAAGCGUCUGAAUAGUCCGCUCUGCCUGCCCGUCAGUCUACGGGUGAAAGGUUGUACUAAGAUUCACCUGAGUACCCAAACCUUGCUGAAAUUUCUUUCAAAAAUUAGCCGUGAACUGUGCCCCUCGAUCCGAAAUGAUAGAAACUAGAGUGCCAUGCAACCUGACUAUUUCCUUGAUAUACAACUGAGCAUAUUGUUCCGCUGUGUCGGUAGAUUUAACUGGCAAGAAGUGUGUUGACUUCAUGAGUCGAUCCACAAUCACCCAAAUCGAGUCGAAUUUGCGAGGAGUGCGAGGUAGUCCUACCACAAAGUCCAUGUUAAUCAUUUUCCACUUCCACAUUGGAAUUUCAAUGCUCUACGCCAACCCACCGGGCCUUUGGUGUUCGGCCUUCACUUGCUUACAAUUGGGACAUCUUUCCACAAAGUCCGCUAUGUUCAUCUUCAUAUCGUUCCACAAAUAGACUUCUCUAAGAUCAUGAUACAUCUUUGUAGAGCCAGGUGCACGGAAUACCUAGAAGUUUGAGCCUCAGUCAUGAUUCUUUAACGGAGAUCAUCAACAUUUGGAACACAUAGUCGCCUUUGGAACCUUAGUGUACCAUCAUCCAUGCCAAGAGAAAAGGCCAUGGUCUUAUGUUUUUGAACCCCCGCCUUCAAUUGUACCAACAAUAGAUCGUUGAAUUGCUUCUCUUUGACUUCCACCACAAGCGACGAUUCAGCCCUAUUUUGCACACUCACCCCUCCUUCACUAGAGUCCGCAAGGCGAACUUCUAAACUAGCCAACCGAUGAACCUCCUUAGCCAACGGCCUUUGAUAUGCCUCCAAGUAAGCAAAACUGCCCAUAGAUUUUCGGCUAAGAGUAUCCGCCACAACAUUGACCAUCCCCGGGUGAUACAGGAUGUCGAUGUCAUAAUCCUUGAGUAACUCAAGCCAUCUUCUUGUUACACCCCAUAUUUUCGUAUGUGGAAGUUCGCCAUAAAUAAAUUGAUGAAAGCUCGAAAAUGAGAUGUUACAUCCCGCAUUUUUUUUGUACAUUAAAGUUUUGUCGUAAGUUAAUCGAUGUAAGCUCGAGAAUGAGAUUAUUUUGAGAUUAUAAGUAUUAUGUUAUUUCAAACAAGGGAUAAGUAAAUUCAUGAAGGCGAGAGGGUAAGCGAAUCGAAGAAAAUAAAUUUCGUCGAAGUUUGACAUUUUGGGAUAUAAUACGGCCCGAGCUAAAAUACCCGAUAUUUAUGGACUAGUGCCAUACAAGGUACCACAUGACCAUGAUAGUAAGAUGUAUAAAGUAUGACAAAAGUGAGUAGUAUUUUAAGUAAUUUGAGAUAAUUCUUAAUUAUGUGGAUUUUUGGUUAAUUGCGGAUUUUUGAUGGAAGAUUAACCAUGUAAUUAAGGAAAUGGGUGGAUAAACUUUGGAUAAGCUUAAAUCCACCCCAACGUGGCAGCAACCCAUGUCUAAAGUAAUGACUAUUGAAUUACAAAACAAGGUGUCAUAUUUAGAGGAAAUUGUUGGCCAAGUAAGCCUUAUAAAGUGGGUCCUACAUCCAUUAUAAUAAAAGACAUCUCUAACAAAGAGAGAUACAUCUCUAACAAAGAGAGAUGAUAUGAAAUGUGAGAUUUCCAUAAGAAAUUUUCAGCAAGGUUCAUUCCCCAUUUCAAAAAUGAAAGUAUACUAUGCACUUAGCCCUAAAAAACAUGGAAAGAAUGACUAUGUUAGUCAUCUUUACAAUUGUAUUCAAUUGAUAUCAAAAAUCCAUUUUUGGAGGAGAUUUUGGAGUUCAUAUGGUACUUUAUGUUAAAAUAGCAACGACAGUUCUUAAAAUUGUGAAGAAAUUCAUACGAAAUUAUACUGCGUAAUAGUGACGGGAUUUUGCGAUUCUAAAGGAGUACGGUGCAACCUUUUCCAAGAAUAUCAUAUGAAUUUUUUCCUACUCCAUGUAUGUUAAGGCUAUCCCUUAUUUCUUUUGGCAUGAUCCAUAUGACACAAACGAAACGAGAAAAUGCACAAUUUUCAUAUACGACUCUAUUCAUAGAAAUAUUAGAGAUGCUUAUGUUCUUGAUUCCCCACGUGUCAUGUUAUUUUAUNNNNNNNNNNNNNNUNAGUCAUUUACUCUAUAUUUCUUCCAUGUCUAUUUUGUACUUAUUUAUGUGCCUUACAUACUCGGUACAUCAUUUGUGCUGACGUCCCUUUUGUCUGGGGACACAACGUUUUAUUUGCUAUCAAAUACACCACCACUUGACACAUUUCAUUUCAUAGACAGGUCGAGAGUCCUCCAAAUAGGCUAUCAGCUCAGCGGAAGGUUUUGCUGCGCUCCAUUUGCUCCGGAGUUGCUUAUGUGGUCAAUAUGAUUAGGACAUGUACUGAUUAGUAUGUCGGGGCCGUGUCCCGACCUUUAUGACAUUUAUGUACUCUUAGAGGUUUGUAGACAUAUGUCGAAUACGUGAAAGAUUGUACGGCCUUGUCGGCCUAUGUUUUGAGUUUAUAAAUGAUCAUGUUGGCCUAUUAGGCCCGUAUGUCACAUGUAUAUGAUGAUGUAAUAAGAAAGAUACGUUACGUUGGUACUCGGUUGAGUAAGGUACCGGGUGCCCGUCGUGGCCCAUCGGUUUGAGUCGUGACACUUCUCUGCCUCAAAUUCAAUUCCUUCUGUUUGAAAAUAUAUUGAAGGCUCUUAUGGUCCGUGAA
rnacentral:lncRNA from 1 species